rnacentral:rRNA from 1 species
CUCUGUUUACACAUCCACUCACACCUGUGCACCCUCCGUAGUUCUAUGGUCUGGGGGACCCUGUCUUCCUGCCGUGGUUCUACGUCUUUACACACACUCUGUAAUAAAGUCUUAUGGAAUGUAUGCCGCGUCUAACGCAAUACAAUACAACUUUCAGCAACGGAUCUCUUGGCUCUCGCAUCGAUGAAGAACGCAGCGAAAUGCGAUAAGUAAUGUGAAUUGCAGAAUUCAGUGAAUCAUCGAAUCUUUGAACGCACCUUGCGCCCCUUGGCUAUUCCGAGGGGCAUGCCUGUUUGAGUAUCAUGAACACCUCAACUCUCAUGGUUCACCAUGAUGAGCUUGGACUCUGGGGGUUUUGCUGGCCUGCGGUCGGCUCCCCUCAAAUGAAUCAGCCUCCCAGUGUUUGGUGGCAUCACGGGUGUGAUAAAUAUCUACGCUCGCGGUUGUCUGCCAUGUAACCUUUGGUGACAAAGGUUCGCUGGAGCUCACAGAUGUCUCUCCUCGGCGAGGACAGCUUUUUUGAACGUUCGAUCUCAAAUCAGGUAGGACUACCCGCUGAACUUAAGCAUAU